CUCUGGGUUGGUUAACAGGACCUCCUGUGUAUGUCUCUCUCUCUCGCUCUCUCUCUCUCUCUACUAGGUUGGUUAACAGGACCUCCUGUGUAUAUCCCUUCCUCUUGGUUAACAGGACCUCCUGUGUAUGCUCCCCUUCCCUCUAGGUUGGUUUACAGGGCCUCCUGUGUACAUCCCUUCCUCUUGGUUAACAGGACCUCCUGUGUAUAUCCCUUCCUCUUGGUUAACAGGACCUCCUGUGUAUAUCCCUUCCUCUUGGUUAACAGGACCUCCUGUGUAUAUCCCUUCCUCUUGGUUAACAGGACCUCCUGUGUAUGCCCCCCCGCCCCCUCUAGGUUGGUUUACAGGGCCUCCUGUGUAUGUCCUCCCUCUUCGUUAAAGGGCGUCCUGUAUGUUCUCUCUCUCAAGCUUUGACACCCACUAGAAUAGAGAACCAACUCUCCUGGAGAUCUACUGGGUAUUGUAGGCUUUUGCUCCAGCCCUGCACUAGAUUCACACACCUGAUACAGCCAACCAGGGUCCUGAGGGGCAGAUCAUUAGUAGAAUCAGGUGUUUUAUAGUAGGGUUGGAACACAACCCUGCAUGCGGUAAGCUACUGUUCCCCAGGCAGCUCUAGAACCCAGGGAAUGUACUAAACAUGAGGGACUGGAUGGUUGUGUUGCGCUAGCAGGGUCAUGGUUGUGAAGUGGUUCACAGCUGGAUUUGUGUUACAGAAAGGGUUUCAAGCUUUUGCUGGUGUGUGGUGUGUGUGUGUGUGUGAGGAUGUGUGUGUGUGAGGAUGUUGAG
ensembl:lncRNA